AGUGAACGCUGGCGGUAGGCCUAACACAUGCAAGUCGAACGGCAGCACAGUAAGAGCUUGCUCUUACGGGUGGCGAGUGGCGGACGGGUGAGGAAUACAUCGGAAUCUACUUUUUCGUGGGGGAUAGCGUAGGGAAACUUACGCUAAUACCGCAUACGACCUACGGGUGAAAGCAGGGGAUCUUCGGACCUUGCGCGAUUGAAUGAGCCGAUGUCGGAUUAGCUAGUUGGCGGGGUAAAGGCCCACCAAGGCGACGAUCCGUAGCUGGUCUGAGAGGAUGAUCAGCCACACUGGAACUGAGACACGGUCCAGACUCCUACGGGAGGCAGCAGUGGGGAAUAUUGGACAAUGGGCGCAAGCCUGAUCCAGCCAGACCGCGUGGGUGAAGAAGGCCUUCGGGUUGUAAAGCCCUUUUGUUGGGAAAGAAAAGCAGCAGGUUAAUACCCCGCUGUUCUGACGGUACCCAAAGAAUAAGCACCGGCUAACUUCGUG
rnacentral:rRNA from 1 species